rnacentral:rRNA from 1 species
CUUUUCUUGUUAGUUUUUGAAGUAUGGCCUGCCCACUGACUUAUUGUUGAAGGGCCGCGGUAUUUUGACCGUGCAAAGGUAGCAUAAUCAUUAGUUCUUUAAUUGUGAUCUGGUAUGAAUGGCUUGACGAGACAUAAUCUGUCUUAGGAGUAUUGCUUAUUGAAUUUGGUUUUUGAGUUAAAAUUCUUAGAUGUUUUUAUGGGACGAGAAGACCCUAUAGAGUUUGACAUUUUUCUUGCUGUAUUUGGUUGUUUGUUAUUUAUUGUUUAGUUGGAUAAAGUGUUUUGUUGGGGUGAUGGGAGGAAUUUUUUAAACUCCUCUUUGAUUUUAUAUAUUUAUUUGUAUUAUUUUGAUCCAUUUAUUUUGAUUAUAAGAUUAAAUUACCUUAGGGAUAACAGCGUUAUCUUCCUUGAGAGUUCUUAUUGGCAGGGGGGUUUGCGACCUCGAUGUUGGAUUAAGGUGAAUUUUCGGUGCAGGAGCUGAAGUUGAUUGGGUCUGUUCGACCUUUAAAACCUU